UUUAUUUUUUAGUAUUUCUAUUUCUUUAAGAAGAAAAUGGUUAAUUAUUUUCUUACACAUGGCAACAUCUGAUCGAUAGACUUGACACGUGGCAUAAUCUUAUGAGUUAAUAACUUUGAAAACCAUAUUUUAUAUAAUAAGAUGUUGAUUUAUUCUUACUUUUUUUGCUAUAUCUUUCCUUAUAUUUCAUACUU
rnacentral:sRNA from 1 species